AUUGAACGCUGGCGGCAGGCCUAACACAUGCAAGUCGAGCGGAUGAGGAAAGCUUGCUUUUCGAUUCAGCGGCGGACGGGUGAGUAAUGCCUAGGAAUCUGCCUGUUAGUGGGGGAUAACUCGGGGAAACUCGGGCUAAUACCGCAUACGUCCUACGGGAGAAAGUGGGGGAUCUGCGGACCUUACGCUAACAGAUGAGCCUGGGUCGGAUUAGCUAGUAGGUGAGGUAAUGGCUCACCUAGGCGACGAUCCGUAACUGGUCUGAGAGGAUGAUCAGUCACACUGGAACUGAGACACGGUCCAGACUCCUACGGGAGGCAGCAGUGGGGAAUAUUGGACAAUGGGCGAAAGCCUGAUCCAGCCAUGCCGCGUGUGUGAAGAAGGUCUUCGGAUUGUAAAGCACUUUAAGUUGGGAGGAAGGGUAUUCACCUAAUACGUGGGUACUUUGACGUUACCAACAGAAUAAGCACCGGCUAACUCUGUGCCAGCAGCCGCAGUAACAC
rnacentral:rRNA from 1 species